CAUGUCUUUUAGAAAAUAUUUUAAAGUCUAUAAUUUUGAAGGCCGCAGUAUUUUGACUGUGCAAAGGUAGCAUAAUCAUUAGUCUUUUAAUUGAAGGCUUGUAUGAAUGGUUGGAUGAAAUAUUAACUGUCUCUAAUAAAAUAGAAUUUAAUUUUUAAGUUAAAAAGCUUAGAUAAGAUUAGAGGACGAGAAGACCCUAUAGAUCUUUAUAUUUUUAUUUUUAAUUUUUAUGAGUAAAAAAUAUUUAAUAUUUUAUUGGGGUGAUAAUUAAAUUUAAUUAACUUUAUUUAAUAAGACAUUAAUUUAUGAAUAAUUGAUCCAUUAUUAGUGAUUAUAAGAUUAAGUUACCUUAGGGAUAACAGCGUAAUUUUUUUAGAGAGUUCUUAUCGAUAAAAAAGUUUGCGACCUCGAUGUUGAAUUUUAGGUGCAGUAGUUUAAAUGUUUGGUCUGUUCGACCAUUAAAUCUUUACAUGAU
rnacentral:rRNA from 1 species